CCCGAGUUUGAUCAUUUGUAAUAUUUUACCAUCAUUUAAAAAAUUAAAAUUUUCAUAAUAUAUAGUUGUUUGUCAUUAUCAAAAUGGGGGAAAUUGUUGAACCAAUAUUGCUUUGAAGAACAAUGUUAUUUAAUUUGAUUUUGAUGAUAACACAAUGCAAAGGAGUAAUUUUAUCAUCUAAUGCUUGUUACCCAUGUAGGAAAAACCCUUCAUACAUAUUCAAGGAAAUAUAUCUUCU
rnacentral:lncRNA from 1 species